CCACUUGAGGGCUGUGAGGCCUUGGCAAGUGCCUUCCUCUCUCUGAGUUCCCAUUGGUGCUCCUUCAGUGAUGAGAUCAUAAUAACUACCGCACAGUUCUUAGCAGGUGCAGAUGACAGUUUGGAAGCCUCAGUGAUUGCCUGGCACGCGUAGCAGCUCAGGACCUGCUGGCUCCCUUCCAGUUCUCCCAUCCUGGUGAUACCUAUAAAUUUAAAUGUCAGUGGAGCCGUUUUCCAACAACGCUUUUGCUAACUUCAUGAAAUCCUGAUCUGUUUCAAGAUUCGCACUUUUUCUUUUCAUCAAUUUCCUUUGAAUUUCCAUUGCAUCUUCAGACAUUCACGACAACCAACAAGCUGAAGAAAACCGGCAAAGCUCAGUAUAAAUAAGGAAACCAGAGAUACUGAUGGCUGGUCUUCAGCUGCUGAAAUCACUGAGCACUGGACUGAACUUAGCAUUUCUGAAAGUGUGUUCCUGGAACCAUUAGACCACGUGGAGGGCCUCUGUGUUUAAAUAAGCUUAAGAAAUGUUACAUACUUGAAACUUCUCUUGGAGA